AUGAACGUUGGCGGCGUGGAUUAGGCAUGCAAGUCCGCGCGGGCGGUAGCAAUACGUCAGCGGCGUAAGGGACAGGAAUACGUAGACUACCUACCCUCAGGACCUGGAUAGCUGCGGGAAACUGCAGGUAAUACGGGAUAACGUCUCCGGACCAAAGGUGUGAGUCCGCCGGAGGAUGGGUCUGCGUCCUAUUAGCUAGUUGGUGAGGUAACGGCUCACCAAGGCAAUGAUGGGUAGCAGGUGUGAGAGCACGACCUGCGUCACUGGGACUGAGAUACUGCCCAGACACCUACGGGUGGCUGCAGUCGAGGAUUUUCGUCAAUGGGCGCAAGCCUGAACGAGCGACGCCGCGUGCGGGAUGAAGGCCUUCGGGUGUAAACCGCUGUCAGUGGGAGGAAUUUUACGUGGGUACUCCCACGUAAUUGACUAAUCCGCAGAGGAAGUGUGGGCUAAGCUCGUGCCAGCAGCCGCGGUAAGACGAGCCACACGAACGUAUUCGGAAUCACUGGGCUUAAAGGGUGCGUAGGCUGCGCAGAAAGUUGGGUGUGAAAUCCUACAGCUUAACUGUAGAAGUGCACUCAAACUACUGUGCUCGAGGAGACAGAGGUGAGCGGAACUGAGGGUGGAGCGGUGAAAUGCGUUGAUAUCCUCAGGAACACCGGUGGCGAAAGCGGCCCACUGGGUCUCUUCUGACGCUGAGGCACGAAAGCUAGGGUAGCGACGGGAUUAGAUACCCCGGUAGUCCUAGCCGUAAACUAUGAGCACUGGAUUGAAGGGUCCUCCAUAGCCUUUCAGUCGUAGCGAAAGUGUUAAGUGCUCCGCCUGGGGAGUAUGGUCGCAAGGCUGAAACUCAAAGAAAUUGACGGGGGAUCACACAAGCGGUGGAGGAUGUGGCUUAAUUCGAGGCUACGCGAAGAACCUUAUCCUAGUCUUGACAUGCUUGGAUUAACCCUAGGAAACUAGGGCCACGCCGUCGGGUGGAACAAGCACAGGUGCUGCAUGGCUGUCGUCAGCUCGUGUCGUGAGAUGUCGGGUUAAGUCCCUUAACGAGCGAAACCCUUGUCGCUAGUUGCCAGCGAGUCAUGUCGGGGACUCUAGCGAGACUGCCGGUGUUAAACGGAGGAAGGUGGGGAUGACGUCAAGUCCUCAUGGCCUUUAUGAUUAGGGCUGCACACGUCCUACAAUGCUGCGCACAAAGGGAUGCAAACUCGUGAGAGCCAGCAAAUCCCAAAAACGCAGCUCAGUUCGGAUUGCAGGCUGCAACUCGCCUGCAUGAAGCCGGAAUCGCUAGUAAUCGCGGAUCAGCAUGCCGCGGUGAAUGUGUUCCUGAGCCUUGUACACACCGCCCGUCAAGGCACGAAGUGGGGGGCAUCCGACAACGCCCGUCGUAACCCGCAAGGGAGCAAAGCGUCUAAGAUGAACUCCGCGAUUGGGACU
rnacentral:rRNA from 1 species